UUUUGCACGUACGCUCCGCGGCUUUGGUGGGUCAGGAUUCUGAGGAGAAUCUAGAAUUACAGUGCCUCAGAGCUGAUGGAACCAUUUUAUAUUGCAUCGAGAUGGAGCGCAUAUGUAUUAGUGAAACUUUUGUUUGUUUGUUUAGCAUGCAUGGCAUGUUGCGGCGACAUAAUCAUCAUGCUCCUAUUCUAAUAUAUUUGUUUGUUCGUGCAUGUGUAGUAAGCUCCUUGUAUGAAUGCCCCUGACAGAAAAAAAAAAUUAAUUGCACGUUUUGGCAUUUGCAUGUGAACAACCUCUUGUCUUUGCCUUUAGUAGGCACGGCGCAUUCCGGAUUUUUUUUUUUUCGGCCUAGCUUUCCGUCCUUCAGCCCCCACUUGCCUCUCCCCCACGCACCCAGGUGAGCCUGGUCAAUGCUAUCAGUCAAGCGUUCAGACAGCCAUAAGCUGCUGUGUCGAAUUGGGUGCUCUCGGAAGCAUGGGGGAAAGCGGUGGGGUCACUAUUGUCCUCCUUGUCGCCCUCCGUCGCUGUCACCCCAAAACGCGGUCGGGCUAGGUCCAGCGGGGGAAAGUGGCGUUUUUACGCCAUAUUCUUCGUUCACCCUUUCGUUUCACUCUUUCCUUCUAUGCGUCGCUAGCACGCCGACUGGGUGCAACACCGCCUGAGUGCUUGCCGUCUUGUCCGUUCUUGCCAGCGCACUCCUCUCGUGAAAAAUGCUCGCUUGCGGUCGUCAUUCCUACUGAGAAGCCUACAUGUUGAAAUACGCAGCAAUGUGGCCACGAAUUUUUGUGAGUGUUAGAAUUAAUAUAGGCGAAACAACAAUUAGAAAAAAAGUCGGCGCUCGUGGCCACCGUCUUCGAUGUGGGAUGAACUCGGAUACACAGAAGCAUGGAUCUUACAAUGCGCAAGCAUUUCCUCCAAGUAAUGGUGAAGUCGCUAUGGGAUAAGGUAGCGAUUUCAACGAAACCACCGCGUUAUCGUGGUCCUCGGGGGCCUGAUCAGCCCGCCGUCAUCCAAGCACUGACCAACCUGCCUACCGACGUCAUUUCCCUGCCCUGAAACCCCUGGCCAGCCCACCGUCCUCGGCACCUUGCCCAAUUCCUAUCCUGAGGGCAGUGCCUGUAAAUAAACUGUUUGAAGAUAACCGAGCGUCACCCAUCUAGGUCCACGGAAAAUGCCUGUUUGUGAAAAUUUAUUCGCAAAUAAACUGUCAUAAACGUCAA
rnacentral:lncRNA from 1 species